UCUCUCCAGUAGCAUGAAGCUGCAUAUAAGAACCCAAAAUAACCCCAUUAUUUAAAAAAAAAAAAAACUGUUGGUUAUAUACAAAAAUUGCUACAGUACUCAACUUUGCAUAUUUGUGGUGAAGUAUAAAAAAUGUGUCUGGAAGGAAAACAGUUUAUGUUGUUGUUAAUGCCAAGUGGUCAAACAACUCUUAUUAUUUAAAGAGAAAUGAAACAUGCCUUCAUACAAAUGUUUUAAAUAAAUCCUAUGAAACCUACAAAUCCAUAUAAAUGUCAGUAUAGUGAAUAUUAACAAACUAGAAAUAUUGAAUUCCUUCAAUUUUCAGAUACUAAGUGAAUCAUUGUGCAACAAAACAUGUUAUUACAGAAAUGGAAUGCUGCUUUCCAUGUGUAUGUGAGUGACUGAGGUCAUAAGAAUUUUCAUUCUAAAUUCAGAAAAAUAUAAAAGGCCAAAUUAUACCUAAAUAUUUCUUGAAACCCAGCCCAACUUUAGGAAUAUCAAAUGGCAUCCAAGAAUAUUUCCAUGCUGUAACUGAUAACUGAUGCUUUGCUUUGCUGUGUAGUAAAUGUGAUCUGAACAUUUGGCUUUUUUUUUUUUUUUAAGGGGUUUUCAAUCCAUUCUUCCCCUAUCCUCCCAAAAGUCACUUAAGGGCAUAGCUAAAACAAAACAAAAAACCUGCUAGAUAUGAAAAGUAGAAUUUGUAAUUUUGUCUUUAAGUAGAGUGAAAAACUAUAUUAUUUACAACUGGCUGUUUUUUUUUUUUUUGUUUUGUUUUGUUUUUAGCAGAAAAUAUUCCAGCCCCACUCAACUGCUCUCAAUUGUAAUGGGAAGGGAAAGUGUGACUGGGUUGAUCCCAGAUUUCAAAUGGGUUGGGAUACUGAACUAUGCCAUGAAAAUCAGCCUGGCCUUGUCUCAUGAAAAUACUGGAAACCUGGAAGGAGGAAAACAAUUAUCAUCUGUUACCAACCAGUUCUAUCCACUUCACUUGGUAUUAUAACACGUAAAUAUUCCUAGGUUUUUAAAAACUAUCUUGCUUGGAUUAUCUCAAAGAGGCCUGGAGAGACUUACAUGAACUGAUGCUAAGUGAA